rnacentral:lncRNA from 1 species
CUUAUGAGGCUCAUAAAAAUGUAAAUAUAUGGAAGAAUUAAACAAGAAAUCAUAGUCAAGAUAUAAUAGUUGGAUGAAAGAUAUUGUUUGGUAUUGUAUCUGCCCUUAUUUAUUCUAUAUCAUCAAUGAAUGCACAUGCUUUCUUCUAAAUGUCACACUAAAAGCGUUACACUCCUGACAUUUUGAGGUACAAUUUUGGACAAUAUUUUUUAAACAGAGCACAUACUGCUAUUAUCUUUGGUAGUUAGGACCAACUAAUCAUAAUGAAUUAUCUGACCUAAAAACAUUACAGAUAUAGUAUCAUACAAGAGACUGACAAAGGUUUAAAGGAAAGGCAUCAUUUUUUUUGAAAUAGCC